GUUGUUUGGUUUCUUUCUUGAUCCUGUUCGAUCCUGUGUCAUACUGUUGUCGGUUAUUGUGUGCGCGGUAAAAUUUCAGGAAAGCGGAGAAGAAACCACGCUGGCUUGGCAAGGGGUAGCAACCAUACGUUACCAACUUCCACAUGAACUGCGAACCCAUAACGAAAUUGAACUGCUUCGUUUUAUUUUGCAACGGUCAACAACACGAAACCAUGCCCUUACUGUCGGAGGCUUUGCCCAUAUUUCUCGAUCGUUUGCGAUAACGGUUGUUGUUGGAUACGCCGGGUUUAUAUGCUUCUUAAUCGAGCGAGUGGAAAAUGUCUGUCGUGGCGAACCUCGCAGUCAGCUUUUGGCUAACCACUCUACAGUGUC